GCGCUUGUGGCGGAAUUGGUAGACGCGCCACCUUGAGGUGGUGGUAUCCGUAAGGAUGUGCGAGUUCGAGUCUCGCCGAGCGCACCA
rnacentral:tRNA from 1 species